CCAAAAGCCACUGACCCCGGAAUGCCGGCCCCAGGGAGAGGGGGUGUCAGGAAGGCCCCCUCCCGGCCAGAUGGGCCUUGGGUCUGACUCCCAGGGGUGGGGCUGCGCUGGAGGUUAUAAAACGGCUGUAGGGGGGACUAGAAGCUUCGCUUUCUCUUUGGAGACGCUUCCUUCAGCACGAACAGGAAAAUAACGGGAACGUCCAGAGCUGCGGACACAGUCCUCAGAUGGGGACACCUCAGGCCUUCUGCACUGGAGCGAGGAAGGCGGCUUCUCCCACACGGGACUUCCAUCUGCAUUUAAGCAGGCACCUCGGUCCUGACAGAGCUGCGCUCCCCAUGGUCCUCCUGUGGCUCACGCUGCUGCUGAUGCCCGGGCCCGGCCUCCUGCAACCGAACCACAGUAAGACCUGGAGAAAA